rnacentral:rRNA from 1 species
UGGGGAAUAUUGCACAAUGGGCGCAAGCCUGAUGCAGCCAUGCCGCGUGUGUGAAGAAGGCCUUCGGGUUGUAAAGCACUUUCAGCGAGGAGGAAGGUGGUGAACUUAAUACGUUCAUCAAUUGACGUUACUCGCAGAAGAAGCACCGGCUAACUCCGUGCCAGCAGCCGCGGUAAUACGGAGGGUGCAAGCGUUAAUCGGAAUUACUGGGCGUAAAGCGCACGCAGGCGGUUUGUUAAGUCAGAUGUGAAAUCCCCGGGCUCAACCUGGGAACUGCAUUUGAAACUGGCAAGCUAGAGUCUCGUAGAGGGGGGUAGAAUUCCAGGUGUAGCGGUGAAAUGCGUAGAGAUCUGGAGGAAUACCGGUGGCGAAGGCGGCCCCCUGGACGAAGACUGACGCUCAGGUGCGAAAGCGUGGGGAGCAAACAGGAUUAGAUACCCCUGGUAGUCCACGCUGUAAACGAUGUCGAUUUUGGAGGUUGUGCCCUUGAGGCGUGGCUUCCGGAGCUAACGCGUUAAAUCGACCGCCUGGGGAG